rnacentral:rRNA from 1 species
UACGAAGGGUGCAAGCGUUAUCCGGAUUCAUUGGGUUUAAAGGGUGCGUAGGCGGAGCGUUAAGUCAGUGGUGAAAUCCUGCAGCUCAACUGUAGACUUGCCAUUGAUACUGGCGCUCUUGAGUGCGCUUGAAGUAGGCGGAAUGUGCCGUGUAGCGGUGAAAUGCUUAGAUAUGACAUAGAACACCGAUUGCGAAGGCAGCUUGCUACACGAUCAUUGACACUGAGGCACGAAAGCGUGGGGAUCAAACAGG